GACGAACGCUGGCGGCGUGCUUAACACAUGCAAGUCGAACGAUGAAGCCCAGCUUGCUGGGUGGAUUAGUGGCGAACGGGUGAGUAACACGUGGGCAACCUGCCCCAAACUCUGGGAUAACUCCUCGAAAGAGGUGCUAAUACCGGAUACGAACUAGACAGACAUCUGUACUAGUUGGAAAGUUUUUCGGUUUGGGAUGGGCCCGCGGCCUAUCAGCUUGUUGGUGAGGGAACGGCUCACCAAGGCGACGACGGGUAACCGGCCUGAGAGGGCGAACGGUCACACUGGGACUGAGAAACGGCCCAGACUCCGACGGGAGGCAGCAGUGGGGAAUAUUGCGCAAUGGGCGAAAGCCUGACGCAGCGACGCCGCGUGAGGGAUGAAGGUCUUCGGAUCGUAAACCUCUUUCAGUAGGGACGAAGCGAAAGUGACGGUACCUAAAGAAGAAGCACCGGCUAACUACGUGCCAGCCGCCGCGGUAA
rnacentral:rRNA from 1 species